rnacentral:rRNA from 1 species
AUCUUGGACAAUGGGGGCAACCCUGAUCCAGCGAUGCCGCGUGGGUGAAGAAGGCCUUCGGGUUGUAAAGCCCUUUAGGCCGGGACGAAGGAUGAUUGGGGAUAAUCUGAUCAUUUUGACGGUACCGACAGAAUAAGCACCGGCAAACUCUGUGCCAGCAGCCGCGGUAAUACAGAGGGUGCGAGCGUUAAUCGGAGUUACUGGGCGUAAAGGGCGCGUAGGCGGUUAGGUGAGUGUGAUGUGAAAGCCCCGGUCUUAACCUGGGAAGUGCAUCGCAAACGACCUGACUGGAGUAGAUGAGAGGGUGGCGGAAUUUCCGGUGUAGCGGUGAAAUGCGUAGAGAUCGGAAGGAACGUCAAUGGCGAAGGCAGCCACCUGGCAUCAUACUGACGCUGAGGCGCGAAAGCGUGGGUAGCGAACAG